GACGAACGCUGGCGGCGUGCUUAACACAUGCAAGUCGAGCGGAAAGGCCCUGCUUUUGUGGAGUGCUCGAGUGGCGAACGGGUGAGUAACACGUGAGUAACCUGCCCUUGACUUUGGGAUAACUUCAGGAAACUGGGGCUAAUACCGGAUAGGAGCUCCUGCUGCAUGGUGGGGGUUGGAAAGUUUCGGCGGUUGGGGAUGGACUCGCGGCUUAUCAGCUUGUUGGUGGGGUAGUGGCUUACCAAGGCUUUGACGGGUAGCCGGCCUGAGAGGGUGACCGGCCACAUUGGGACUGAGGUACGGCGCAGACUCCUACGGGAGGCAGCAGUGGGGAAUAUUGCACAAUGGGCGGAAGCCUGAUGCAGCAACGCCGCGUGCGGGAUGACGGCCUUCGGGUUGUAAACCGCUUUCGCCUGUGACGAAGCGUGAGUGACGGUAAUGGGUAAAGAAGCACCGGCUAACUACGUG
rnacentral:rRNA from 1 species